rnacentral:lncRNA from 1 species
CACGUUUGAAGUAUUUAAUUUUCUCUGGAGGAAAUUUUUAUAUAAGAUUAUUAUUGAUUAAACAAAAAACACAUCAUAUUAUUUCUCUCUUCCUCCAUAGCUUUUUGAAACCAUGAAUUACAAAGCAUUCACUUUGAUAUUGUGUGUAUUAAUUUUUUGUCUAUCAUCAACAAUGGCCUCUCGAAGAAUAUUAUCAGGUUUUAUCUCUUUGCUUUUUUGAUUGAUAUAUAAAAUAUGAUUAUUAGAAAAAAAAUAUUUACUAUUUAUAGAAUAAUAAUUCUUGUUUAUUGAUAAAAGCAUAAAGAUCAUUUCUAUUAUAAGGUGGAGAGUUUGAUUUUUCCAAUCAACCUAUUCGCAUAAAUAAAACUCUUUCAAAAAAUUAUAUAUUUAUCCCUUCACUUUAAUGUAUUUUAAUUUUUUCCCCUAAAUUUUCAGUUGAAGGAACUAAACAAAUUCAUUAGUUUAAGAUAUACCAUGUUGAGAAUUCUCAUUAGUACGAUGGCAUUUAAUUUGGACUAAUAAACAGUUUUUUGUUGUAAAAUUAAAGUAAAAUAAGACAAACAAAUAUAGAAGAUGAAAGCAAUAGAAAUAUUGUUAUAUAAGUAAUAUUUUAUAACAAUUUUUUUGUCAAUUUUUUUGCUUUAUUCUUGUUUUCUUGUUCCGUUUAUUGUAAUGGGUUUUACUUUUAAUUUGAGUUAUCGCGUUUCAGUUUUCAAUAUGAAAAAAUGUCUUCAGAAAGCAUAUUUGAAAUUAUAAUCAAGCAUAAACUAUUACCCUAGAUCAACAAGUCUUUUUAAAUUAAUAAGUAUAAUACAAAUUGCUAUCAUAUAUAUAUAUAUAUAUAUANNNNNNNNNNNNNNNNNNNNNNNNNNNNNNNNNNNNNNNNNNNNNNNNNNNNNNNNNNNNNNNNNNNNNNNNNNNNNNNNNNNNNNNNNNNNNNNNNNNNNNNNNNNNNNNNNNNNNNNNNNNNNNNNNNNNNNNNNNNNNNNNNNNNNNNNNNNNNNNNNNNNNNNNNNNNNNNNNNNNNNNNNNNNNNNNNNNNNNNNNNNNNNNNNNNNNNNNNNNNNNNNNNNNNNNNNNNNNNNNNNNNNNNNNNNNNNNNNNNNNNNNNNNNNNNNNNNNNNNNNNNNNNNNNNNNNNNNNNNNNNNNNNNNNNNNNNNNNNNNNNNNNNNNNNNNNNNNNNNNNNNNNNNNNNNNUAUAUAUAUAUAUAUAUAUAUAUAAACUCUAUUUUAAUAACAGGUCCGGGAAAUAGUAAAAUGCCAUCACUACCUCACCGACCUAAACCAGAUGGAUCAGCAACUACCCAACCACCGCCUGGUAAACUUUUGCUUGAACCUUUUUUCAAUUUACGUGUCACAAUUCAAAAUUUGAGAAUCAAAUAUUUUAAUUUUAAUUUUUAAAACUUCGCAUCCCCUAAUGCGAACUACUAUUAAUAUGUGUGGCAAAUUAGUUCAUGCACAUAUGUAGUCUUGUUUUCAUUUAAUUGCAUAAUUUUUCUUUCAAAUGAGUUCAUUUUUAUUUUUUUAUCAUUUAAAUAAGUUGAAUUUUAAUUUUUGCAUUUAUUACAUAAUAAAAGUUAUUAAAGAGCGCGAAAUAUAAUAUAUAAACUAUUAUUAUGUAAAAAUAUAAAUUUAUAUCUUACGAUUCUUUUUUACCUCGUGGGACAAUCAUUAAAGACCGACACAAAAUACAGGGAUCCUUUUUAAUUUGCGUAAAGUUAUUUGAUUAGACACAAUGUUUAAAGAACUUUUUUUUGAUGAUUUCUAAUACUUUGUGGUCGUGAGUACGAAUCAUAUGAUGAGAUAUUUGUGAAUUAUGAUUAUAAAACUUGUCAUAAAAUGUCUAAAGAGAAACUUAUAAUUUAUUUUUAGAAAUAGAAAAGUGUUAUUCUAUUUGAUUUCGAAAAAUAAUAAUCGUUUUUUUAAAGUUAAAAUUGCAGCAAAACCACGUAUAAAUAGUGCAUUAAAAAGAAAUUCGGUAUGCAACGAGGAAGUGUAUGGCAAUUGUAUAAACUCUACUCCAACAGUCCCACGCUGCAAUUUAGGUGAAAGAUGUAAACGCACCAUAGUACCCUAACUUGAAGUUAUAACAAUAGAGCAAGUCGCAGUUAGAAUUUGAAAUUUAUGAAUUUUGAAUGUAUUAUUAAAUUUUAUAACUCAUUUAAUUAGUUAUUAGAUUGACGCUAAAUUGUUAACAAUAAACUUCUUUAUUCAGUGAAAGUUCAUGUAAUAAUAUUGAAUGGUAUAUAUUUAUAUCAAGGCCAUUUAAAAUCUUCUUCCUCUAUCCCCUUUUUGGUAUCCCUUUUUUUUUCCCACUACUUAAAGUUCCCAAAUUAUGAGGAAUAAAGAAUGUAGAUUUCCUAAACGGUUAACUACAUUCAUCGAUUGUUUCUUAAAUUUGUUAGUAAAUUUUAUUUAGACGAAUUUUGAUUGAGUCAAUAGAUUUUAAAGGGCAAGAAAAUACUUGACAAAUAUCGUGCUCAUGAGGGCAUGCACACAUGCCAUCGAACAUGUUUUUCUUUAUUUUUGUUGCAUCCAUUUGAACUUGUGACGAUCCGUUAAGACUCGUAAGAUGAUCCAAAAGUUUCUUUUUAGGAAAUUUUACACAAAUCUUAUAGUGUUAAGAGCUAAUUAUAUCAUAUUUAUACUCUUUUCUAAAUUACAAAAAUCCCUUAAAUUUGGUGGAAUCCGAAUACAUUCCAAAAUAUCUCGAUACAUCGCAUCCCAAUUUCGAAUACAUCGCUCAACCUCCUGAUACAUUGCGUCUCAGUUUCGUAUACAUCACAAUACAUCGCGUAAAGUGAUAUAUCCGAUAAUAGGAGAGAGUAGGAAUUUUUGUGAUUUUUUCAAAUGGUAGAAAAUUUUAAAGAAUAUGAUAAAAUAAAUUGUGUAUUGAAGUAAUUUUCCCUAUAUACGAAUUAUUAAAAUGAGGUUAAGAUUUAAAUAAUGACACCAAAAUAGUCUAUUUGUGCAAACCUCCCAUCCACACAAGUUUGAAUGGGCUGGUCUGUCUAAAAAAGCCCAAGAGCUUCUUACUAUUGGGCCUACUUUACUAGUGGCGGGACCCAAUUACAAAAUUUUCAAAUAAAUAAAAUACUCCACACGCAAUCUCCGCCUUCCCGUUGAAUUUAUCCCGGUGCCGGAGAAAUGGAAAACGGCGCUCAGCAAACACCGGCCACCACUACGCCACCAUCACCUCCGAUGCCAAAAGUCGGCGUAGCGGUGUUUCUUUUAAAAGGAAGUAAAGUUCUGUUGGGGAAACGCCUCUCCGCCGUCGGCCAUAGCACCUUUGCACUUCCCGGCGGCCACCUGGAGUUCGGUGAGUACCUAAAAAUAUCUUCCCGUUGUCUAUCGAAGCUUAAAUUCAUAUAUUAGUUAUGAUUUAUGAUAUGAUUUAUUUGAUAGAUGAUCUAAAUUUUAUAGUGAUUUUUUGUGAAAAGUUACUCCCUUCGUCCCAUUUUAUGUAAUAACAUUUGAUUGGACACAGAAUUUAAGAAAUAAAUGAAGACUUUGAAAUGUUUAUCAAAUUUUUCUUUAAAAAGUAGACUGACUUUUCUUUCUCUUCAUAAAUGUAUUGAAGUAUUAUUUUAUGAUUAAAUGAAACCAACAAGGAUAAAAAAGAAAUUGUACCUUUAAAUACUUAUCAUAUUAGGAAAUGCGACAUUCUUUUUGGACUGACUAAAAAGAAAAUGGUGCCACAUAAAAUGUGACGGAGGGAGUAUUUUUUUGGAGUAUGAAAAACUAUUUUUUUUGCAAAAAGUUAAACAAUCACCUUUAUUUGGAAAAAUAUCUUGUAAGAUUGCCAUAUAACUUUCGUGGUUAAUUAGUGUGAUUUAGAGUACAUUGUUUCCAAAUAUAUACUUGAUUUUAUUUCAAAAAAUUUAAAACUUCUAUGUUUGAAUUCACAAUACCUUAACAACCAAUCUAGCUUUGUACCUUGGCUUCAAGUUGUGUUCUUCAACUUUAACUUUGAACACCACUUGUUCUUCAAAGCUCUCAUGCCCUUGGGCAAUUUUACCAAUUCGCAAGUGUGGUUCUCAUGCAGAGACAUCAUUUCAUCUUGCAUGACUUCAAUCCAUUGAUCCUUGUGCUCAUCUUCCAUGGCCUCCUUAUAACAUUCAGGUUCGCCCCCGUCAGUGAGUAACACAUACUCAUUGGGUGAAUAACGAGAUGAAGGAACCCGCUGUCUUGUGGACCUCCUAAGCAAAUUAUUUAAUUCGUCCACAACUUCAUGAGCAUAAGGAUUAUUAAUAACAAUAUCAUUGUUAUUAACAACAUCAACAUGUUGAUUCGAUACAUGAUUAUGGGCGUCACCGUGAUCAUCAAGCCCAACAACAUCAUGCAUACUUGCGUAAGGAACUUCAUCUAGAUGAAUUAUGCCAUAAAAACUUGAAGAUUCUAGCUUCUCUGCUUUGUCAAUAUCUUAAAUUGUUUGAUUCUCCAUGAAAAUAAUAUCACAGCUUCUCACAAGUUUCUUCUCAAUUGGAUCAUAUAGCUUGUAACCAAAUUCAUCAAGGCCAUAUCCAAUGAAGAUGCACUGCCUUGUCUUGGCAUCCAACUUUGACCUCUCAUCUUUCAGCACAUGUACAAAAGCUUUGCAACCAAAUACUCUCAAAUGAUCAUAGAAAACAUCCUUUCCAUACCAAAUUCUAUAUGGAACAUCACUUUGCAAAGCAACAGCAGGAGAUAGAUUAAUAACAUGUGCAGCGGUCAAUAACGCCUCACCCCAAAAUAAGUUCGACAACUUUGCUUCAGAAAGCAAACAUCUAACUCUUUCCAUCAAGGUCCUGUUCAUCCUAUCAGCCAAACCAUUAAGCUGAGGAGUCUUAGGAAGAGUCUUUUGGUGUCUAAUACCUUGAUGCUUGCAGUAUUCGUCAAAUGGUCCACAAUAUUCACCACCAUUAUCAAUACGUAUACAUUUCAGUUUCUUUCCAGUUUCUCUUUCAACUGAGGCCUGAAACUGCUUGAAGACACCUAAGAUUUGGUCUUUAGUCUUCAAGACAUAAACCCAAAGUUUUCUCAAGCAGUCGUCAAUAAAAGUGACAAAGUAGAGUGCACCACCCAAUGUCUUUGACUUCAUUGGACCGUAUAAAUCAGAGUGCAUCAAGUCAAGCAACUCUGUCUUUCUUGAAAGUGGGUAAGACUUAAAUGAAACUCUAUUUUGUUUAUCAGCCAAGUAGUGCUCACACUUUGCUAAUUUAGAACUUUUAAAAUUUGACAAUAAUUUCUUCUUGGUUAGAACAUUAAGUCAUUUUUGGUUGAUAUGGCUAAGCCUCUUGUGCCAUAAUGUUGAAGAGUCAUUGCUCUCAAUCGCAUUUACCAUAUCGACACAAGCAGAAGUCGUAGUCCAGUAUAGACCAUGACGUUUGUUACCACGAGCCACAACCAAGGAACACUUAAUGAGUUUUUAUUUUUCAUCACCGUUGGUACUAACAUAUCCUUCAUCAUCCAAAACACAACAUAAAUUAGGUGCAGACGAACAUCAUGAGCAUGUUUUACAUUGUUCAAAACUAGUUUAGCUCCAACACUAGUUUCCAAACAAAUUGUAGCAAUACCAACCACCCUAGAAACAAUCUCAUUACCCAUACUCAAAGUUCCAAAAUCACCACGAGUAUAGGAAGAGAAAAAAUUCUUCAUUGAUGUCACGUGAGAUGCGGCACCAAUGUCCACAACCCAACUUGACUCAUCACAAGCAAUAUUUAUCAUAUCUGCAUCAAGGACGGUAAUAAGAUCUUCGAUAGUGACGGUGGCUAGGCAAUUUUCAUUGCCAUCUUCUUUAGUUUCCUCUUUGUUUUUGUUCUCCCUCUUCAACUUUCUGCAAAACUUCUUUGCGUGCCUUUUCAUGCCACAAUGAUAGCACUCAAUAUCCUUAAGCCUGCCUCUAGAUUUGCUCCUAUUUUGUUCUCUAUUCUGAGAACCACGAGUUUUGUUUCUCCCCCUGGAGCCAGUUAUCAGGACAUCCGACAAAGAAGAACUUUGGGAUUUUCUUCUUAUCUCUUCGUUCAAGACACUACUCUUGGCAGAAUCCAUUGAGAUUACACCAUCCGGAGUAGAAUUUAACAAUAAAGUUCUAAAUGGUUCUCAAAAGUCUGGUAGGGAACCAAGUAGAAGCAAGCCUUGAAUUUCUUCAUCAAAUUUAAUGUCCAUAGCAAAUAACUGGUUCAUGAUCCCCUGAAAAUUAUUCAGAUGGUCUAUCAUCGGAGAACCAUCAUGAUACUUUAAACUCAACAUCUACUUUAUUAAGAACAUUUUAUUGUUGCCAGUUUUCCGAGCAUACAAACUUUCAAGAUGCUCCCAUAGGGUUCGAGCAUGUGUCUCCCUAGAAAUAUGGUUCAACACAUUAUCGUCAACCUAUUGCCUAAUGAAUCCACAAAUCUGUCUAUGCAACAGAUUCCACUCUUCAUCUGUUUUAUUAUUAGGCUUUACAGUGGUAAAGAUUGGUUGAUAAAAAUUCUUGACAUAAAGCAGAUCUUCCAUUUUCCCCUUCCAAAUGGCAUAAUUAACACCAUUCAAAGUAACAAUUCUACUUGUGUUGGCUUCCAUCAUUUUCCCCCCAAAAAAAUAGUUAUUGCAAACCAAAGUAAAUCUUUUCUGAUGUGGAAGUUCAGACUGUACUGCAACCACAGAGCAUACUCAGAUACAACCUUGGCUCUGAUAUCAGUUUGUUGGGAAAACGCGGACUAACACAAAAACAUAUAUGGUCAAAUGAUAAAAAUAAAGUGGGAAAAUAAUGACACCAAGAAUUUUACGUGGAAACCCUUCUAAACAAGGGAAAAACCACGGGCCAAGAGAAGCAACUGAUAUCACUAUAGUAAGAAAUUUUACACUAUGUAGUCACGAAUACAAUACUCAAAGUGACUACUACACAUUCAAAAUGAAUAACACUCUUUUGAUUUUCACCUUACUAAAAUAUCGCUCACACUCUAUUUUUCUUCACAGACUAUUUUUCUUGUAUAGUCUAUGGAAUACCUCACUUUGCUCUCAAAAUAAUUUUUUCUCUCUAAAUUAGUGUGUUCUACAAAUGAGCAAGAAUGCUCUAUUUAUAGAAGGAGAAAACCAUGCCUAUGGCACUAAUGACAUAUACAAAUGUAACAAAUUUCAAAAGUAAGUUGCAAAUCUUACCAAUUUGCCAACCACCAAAUCUUUUAUUUUCAACUCACAUUUGUUGUCACUAUUCCUUUUUAACAAUUGUUUGUUGCAAUUGAGUAGCAAAAAUUGAUACCAAAAAUUUAGGAAGCUAUUCAAUAUUUGAGAAUCUAUAUAAUAAAAUCAAGUUAGAUAAAUUAAUUUUAUAUGAUUGAAUUUAAUUUAAUUUUCUUUAUAACAGAGCAUGUUGGAAUUCCAAUGCGACCUCACUCCUCUAAACCAGCUCAUUCAGCAACUGAUCAACACCCAUCACCUGCUGUUAUACACCCAACCCCCGGUAAAAUUCUCUCCAAUAUCUUUUUAAUUUUUUUUUAUUUUUCACUCAAUAUCUUGUGUUUAUAUUUAAAUUCGACUAAAUAUGAAUUCACACAUUUAUAGUCUCAUUCUUUUCGUAUGGCUCUCCAAUAACUAAAAGGAUCGGACAUACGGGACGGGAUCUGAUACCGGAAAUUUAGGAAGCUAUUCAAUAUUCGAGAAUCUAUAUAAUAAAUUUAAAUUACUUAUCAAGUUAGAUAAAUUAAAUUUAUAUGAUUGAAUUUAAUUUAAUUUUCUUUUAUAACAGAGCAUGUUGGAAUUCCAAUGCGACCUCACUCCUCCAGACCAGAUCAUUCAGCAACUGAUCCACACCCAUAACAUGUUGUUAUACACCCACCCCCUGGUAAAAUUCUCUCCAAUAUCUUUUUAAAUUUUUUUCGAUUUUUCACUCGAUAUCUUGUGUUUAUAUUUAAAUUCGACUAAAUAUGAAUUCACGCAUUUAUAGUCUCAUUCUUUUUGUAUGGCUCUCCAAUAACUAAAAGGACCGGACAAACGGGACGAGAUCUUAGUGGAAUAUUCUUUAAAAAAAAUAAAAAUAUAUAUAUAUUAAUUUAAAUAUAAAACUACUAACUAAAAAAUCACAAGAUUUUAUAAGUAAUUUUUUUGUGAGAAGAUAUAUCAUAUAUGAGCAGGGGCGGAAUUAAGUGGGGGUUUGUUGACCCUCUAUUUGUAUUAGAAAAUUAAAUAAAAUAUACAUCUAUUGACUAUAUUAUCUUGUGAACCCCUUAACAAAACUGAUUGACAGUUCGAUAGCAAAAAAGGAUCGUGAAAAUUUUCAGGCUUAAGUUAUGGGUUUGAAUCCUACCAUCAACAAAAAUUAUAUUAUUAUUAUUAUUAUUAUUAUUAUUUUGCAGCAACCCCAACGGCAUGCAGUGGAAUGGAUCGACAAGAAUUAGAAAAUUGUAUACGUCGUCAAGUAAACAGGGAUCUCUGCAAGAAUUAUAAGAUAUGUUAAAAUGAUCAAUAAAUUAUGUAGUAUUAUUAUUACCAAUGCUUUAGAUAAUUAAUUAAAUAAAUAAAUAGAUGGUUUAUAAACUUUAGAACUCCACUUUGUACUAGAUGGGUACAUUUUAUUUCAUUAAAUUAUCUCCCAAAAGAGGAUACCAUACAAAAUAUUUCAAUUUUUUCUAUUGUGAAUGGUCCUUUUUAUACUGUUUACGCUCAAAAUACUACUUGUACUUAUUUAAAAUAUUGAUAUUUUAGAAGUUUAAAAUAAAAUUAAGACUUUUUUCUCAGGUUGAUUGUCUUUAAUUGUAAUUAUUCUUAAAAACUAUAAACACAUAAAUUAUGACAUAUAAAUAAAUUAAAUAUAUUCAAUGAAGAAAGACUAUAUUUUAGAAUAUAAAUAAGAAUAAAAUACUUAAACGUUCUCCUAAUUGAUGUUUUACUUUAUGAGGUGUGUAAAUAAAAAAAAAUGAUAAUUUUUUUUUAUGACAGAGCGACUAUUUCAAAAUGUUACAUAAAUAUCAAAAUUUUAUGAGACUCUAGAGACGUAUUCAAUUCAAGACAAACAUCCCUUUACCUUUGGAGAAUGUAUUUUGACGGUGAAGUUGAGUUAAAAAAAAAAACUUCGACGAAUUCAAUUUUUAGGUUCUUUUUAUUCUUUUCGUUCAACAUGUUGUACUUUUGAAUCAAUUCAAUAUAUUAAUAAUAUCGUACCUCAUCUACUUUAUUAUUAGUUUUAAUAUACAUAUUUAAUUUAGCUAUAUAAAUACAAUAACAAAAGAGGGUAGGAAAUCAAAUAUGAACAAAAAAAAAGAAUUAAAAUGCAAAAAUUAGUACCCCCUUUGUUCCAAAUUACGUGAAUUUGACUAUGAAAAAAAUAAAUUAUUUAAAAUAAAUUUAUAUUUUUGAAUUAUAUAAAAUAUAUUAUAAAUUAAAUAACUGAUAAUUUCAAAUAUUUUUAAAAAUAUAUAAAAAAAUUACCAAAAAAAAAAACAAACAAACUUAUUUGCAUUUUGAAAUAUUUAAAUGUUACAUAUACGAACAAGUACAAGACAUGCCGAUGCAAGCCAUUACUCUACAGAAUUAGUAUAGUUCGCAGACGAGCACAUUAAUAAAAACUUGAACUAAAUAGACAAAGAUGGAAAGAUUAAAGUUUUGUUAUUAGAAAGUCUCCGAUAAAAAGAAUGAUCGUUAAACAAUGGUAUCUUUGUGGCCCAAUUGUAAUAUAAUUGGAGCUAAACUACACAACUUGAGAAGACCGCUAUAAGUUGACCAAAUCAACUGUCAUGAAGACUCCAUAGGACUUGGGAGUACUUUUUUUUAUUUGUCAAUAAAAUAAUAAUUUUUGUUAUAUUAUGUUUUAUAAAGAUGAUAUAUUUUAUACAUUUUUAAUUUAAGAUCACAAAAAAUUUUAAAAAUAAUUUACUCUGCUUAGGGGUGUUCAUGGUUUGGAUAAAAACUGAUCCAAACCGAAAAAUCGAACCAAAUCAAUAAAAUAAAACCAAUUUUAUUUGGGUUUGGUUUGGCAUUAGAUUUUUCGAAAACUGAUAGUAUUUGGUUUGGUUAUGAUUUUAUUCGAAAAAAUCGAAGAAAUAACCGAAUCAAUGAAUUAUAUACAUAUAUUUUAUUAAUAUACAUACUUAAUAUAUUAUUUUUAUGAACAACUUUAAAGAUCUUAUAUAUAUUUUCAUUAAAAUUUCUUUAUAAUAUACUUAUUGAAAGCAAAAAUGUCCAAUAUGAAAAUAUUUAUCUUAUUGAUUUCAUAUAUAUGAGUGCUUAUGACAAUUCUUUGUGGAACUGAAAAUGUUAUUGUCUCUUCCUUCUAGGCCAAUUUAGUGAAUUUUAAAGCUUUAUUGAUAGUAAAUUUAGUGAUCGAAAGAUCAGUAAUUUAAGUCAUUCUAACUAUUUUUCGUUUUGAAUGGAUUGUUGUCACUUUUUUCACAUUUUGAAUGAAUUGUUUCUUUUAUCUUUGUGUAUGAUUAAUUACCAAACCAAACCAAACCGAAACUGAUAACCACCAAACCGAUAAAUGUAUAUUAUAUUUGAUUUUGAUAAUUUUAAAACCGAUUAAGUUGGUUUGAUUUUGGUUUUGACCAAUAACCGAUCCAAAUCGAUCCAUGAACACCCCUAACUCUGCUUAUGAAAAAUAAUUUCUGCUGUUGUGUAGAAAUUAUUUUUUAAAAAAAAUUUCAACUCUCUAAACUAAGUAAAAAAAAAAUGAAAGAAAAAAAACAUUAUUAAUUUCUAAAAAAUUGGCCAAACAAAUUAUAAAAUCACUUUAUAUAUUGUACAUGUUCUUGCAAAAAAAAAAGUCUAAUUGAGUAUUGACUUGUUCAAUAUAUUAGCAUGAGAGGACUUAAGAGUAGACCAAAGUGUCAUGAAUCACAAAGGUUGUGGUGUAAUAAAUGAGAUUGUCUCGAGGUUUUGAUUUAAAAAUUUAAAUAUAGAAAAAAAUUUGAUAAAAAAUAUUUUUUCUCGAAUGAGUAUGCCUAUACAAUACGAACUUAAAAUCAAUCGAACUUUAAUAUAGAUACUGAAUCGUGAAUGAAAAAACAAAAACUAAAGUGUCAUAAAUGUUUAGUCCAAGGAAGACUUCAAAAGUCAAGAACCAUAAAAUGGGUUAUAAACGAAGUGAGAAUUUUCUAAAGGAUUUAGUCUACACGUUUGAAGUAUUUAUUUUUCUCUUGAGGAAAUUUUUAUAUAAGAUUAUUAUUGAUUUAAACAAAAAACACAUCAUAUAUUUCCCUCUCCUCCAUAGCUUUUUGAAACCAUGAAUUACAAAGCAUUCACUUUUGAUAUUGUUUGUAUUAAUUUUUUUGUCUAUCGUCAACAAUGGCCUCUCGAAGAAUAUUAUCAGGUUUUAUCUCUUUGCUAUAUUAAAUAUGAUAAUUAGAAAAAAAAUAUUUAUUGUUUAUAGAAUAAUAAUUCUUGUUUAUUGAUAAAAGCAUAAAGAUCAUUUCUAUUAUAAGGUGGAGAGUUUGAUUUUUCCAAUCAACCUAAUCGCAUAAAUAAAACUCUUUUAAAAAAGGGAAAAUUGUAUAUAAUAGCAAACUAUUAAUUCAAAUUAAAUGCUAUAAAUAUAGUUUGAUUUAAUUGUACCUCAUAGCAAACUAUUGUUAUUUCACCUCUCUCCUGGUGAAUCUCGCUCGCCACUCUCAUUCUCUCCCUCGCCUCUCUCGUUUUUUAUACAAACGCAA